rnacentral:rRNA from 1 species
GACGAACGCUGGCGGCGUGCUUAACACAUGUAAGUCGAACGGUGAAGGGGUCUGCUUUUGUGGGCCCUGGAUGAGUGGCGAACGGGUGAGUAACACGUGAGUAACCUGCCCCCUUCUUCUGGAUAACCGCAUGAAAGUGUGUCUAAUACGGGAUAUUCUGGGUCUGUCGCAUGAUGGGUCUGGGAAAGAUUGCGCCUUUGGGUGUUUUUGGUGGGGGAUGGGCUCGCGGCCUAUCAGCUUGUUGGUGGGGUGAUGGCCUACCAAGGCGGUGACGGGUAGCCGGCCUGAGAGGGUGGACGGUCACACUGGGACUGAGACACGGGCCAGACUCCUACGGGAGGCAGCAGUGGGGAAUAGUGCACAAUGGGCGUAAGCCUGAUGCAGCGACGCCGCGUGAGGGAUGGAGGCCUUCGGGUUGUAAACCUCUUUCGCCAGUGAAGCAGGCCUGCUCCUUGUGGGUGGGUUGACGGUAGCUGGAUAAGAAGCGCCGGCUAACUACGUG